GAUGAACGCUGACAGAAUGCUUAACACAUGCAAGUCUACUUGAUUCUACUUCGGUAGUUGAUGGUGGCGGACGGGUGAGUAACGCGUAAAGAAUCUGCCCUUUAGUUUGGGAUAACCUUUGGAAUCGAAGGCUAAUACCGGAUAUUAUGGAGACGUCGCAUGGCGACUCCAUGAAAGCUAUAUGCGCUAGAGGAGGACUUUGCGUCCCAUUAGUUAGUUGGUGAGGUAAUGGCUCACCAAGACCGCGAUGGGUAGCGGGCAUGAGAGGGUGAUCGGCCACAAGGGAACUGAGACACGGUCCUUACUCCUACGGGAGGCAGCAGUGGGGAAUAUUGGACAAUGGGCCACAAGCCUGAUCCAGCAAUUCUGUGUGCACGAUGAAGGUCUUCGGAUUGUAAAGUGCUUUCAGUAGGGAAGAAAAAAAUGACGGUACCUACAGAAGAAGCGACGGCUAAAUAUGUGCCAGCAGCCGCCGUAA
rnacentral:rRNA from 1 species